rnacentral:rRNA from 1 species
CANNNNGAUUCAGGGAGGUAGUGAAAGAAAUAAUGAACUAGGAUUUAUCNUGGGGUCAGAAUGGGCUUGAUUUGCAAACUUUAUUUAGCGAGGAACAAUUGGAGGGCAAGUCUGGUGCCAGCAGCCGCGGUAAUUCCAGCUCCAAUAGCGUAUAUUUAAGUUGUUGCAGUUAAAAAGCUCGUAGUUGGAUUUCUGGCAGGACUCUAAUGUCCGCUCGUUGCGUGUGCAUAUGAGUCCUGCCAUCCUUCUGUUAACUGUUCUGGUAUUCGUUUACUGGUUCAGAACCCAGAUAUUUUACCUUGAGAAAAUUAGAGUGUUUCAGGCAGGCUUGCGCUUGAAUACAUUAGCAUGGAAUAAUAGAAUAGGACUUUGGUCUCUUUUGUUGGUUUGAGGGACUAGAGUAAUGAUUAAUAGGGACAGUUGGGGGCAUUAGUAUUUAAUUGUCAGAGGUGAAAUUCUCGGAUUUGUUAAAGACUAANNUAUGCGAAAGCAUUUGCCAAGGAUGUUUUCAUUAAUCAANNANNNNAGUUAGGGGAUCAAAGACGAUCAGAUACCGUC